rnacentral:rRNA from 1 species
CUUUUUUAUAGACUGGAUUUAUAUAUUUAUAACUAAAAUUAGGUUAAAUUUUUUUUUUAUAGAGUUAAAUAUUUAGAUUGAUGAAAGAUGUAUAAUAGUGACAGGGAUUAGAUACCCCAUUAAUGUACAUUGUAGCUUUGUCUUAGUUAAUAUAACUAAAAUAAUUUGGCAGUGAGCGACUCUUUUUAGGGGAAGGUGUGGUGUAAAGGAUGUUCCGCCUAAUAAUUUACUUUCGUUAUGUUGGUGUAUAUCUGGUUUAAUAUUAUCGUUGAGUAAGUGAGUUUGUGUAGUUUUAUUUAAGCCAAGUCUAUGUGCUGCUUAUGAAAGUAUUCAUGCGUUACAUUUAUAAGGUUUUGGUUGUAAUACUAAAAUAUUUAGGACUUAAAAGUAAUGUUCAAUAAGUUUGUGAGUGUGAAGUAAGUUUAGCUCAUGUACACACCGCCCGUCACCCUCGAUGCAUAUUGAGGUAAGUCGUAACAAGGUAAUU